rnacentral:rRNA from 1 species
UAGGGGCAUGUGCACACCUGACACCAACUUUUCUUACCACCUGUGCACUUUUUGUAGACUUGGAAUAACCUUGCGAGGAAACUCGGUUUGAGGACUGCUGUGUGCAAAGCCAGCUUUCCUUACACUUUCCGGUCUAUGUUUCAUAUAUACGCCAAUUGUAUGUUACGGAAUGUUAUUUUAAUGGGCUUAAUUGCCUUUAAAUCUAUACAACUUUCAACAACGGAUCUCUUGGCUCUCGCAUCGAUGAAGAACGCAGCGAAAUGCGAUAAGUAAUGUGAAUUGCAGAAUUCAGUGAAUCAUCGAAUCUUUGAACGCACCUUGCGCUCCUUGGUAUUCCGAGGAGCAUGCCUGUUUGAGUGUCAUGAAAUUCUCAACCUUAUCAGCUUUUACNGGCUGAUAAGGCUUGGACGUGGGAGUGUUGCGGGCUUCCUAACAGAGGUCGGCUCUCCUUAAAUUCAUUAGCGGGACCUUUUUUGGUUGCCUUGACCCUUUAGUGUGAUAAUUAUCUACGCUAUUGCCAAAGUGACCUGGUACAGCUUCUAAUCGUCUUUCUCUGUGAGACAAUGUUUAUGACAAUUUGACCUCAAAUCAGGUAGGACUACCCGCUGAACUUAAGCAUAUCAAUA